GAUGAACGCUAGCUACAGGCUUAACACAUGCAAGUCGAGGGGCAGCAUUUUAGUUUGCUUGCAAACUGAAGAUGGCGACCGGCGCACGGGUGAGUAACACGUAUCCAACCUGCCGAUAACUCCGGAAUAGCCUUUCGAAAGAAAGAUUAAUACCGGAUAGCAUACGAAUAUCGCAUGAUAUUUUUAUUAAAGAAUUUCGGUUAUCGAUGGGGAUGCGUUCCAUUAGUUUGUUGGCGGGGUAACGGCCCACCAAGACUACGAUGGAUAGGGGUUCUGAGAGGAAGGUCCCCCACAUUGGAACUGAGACACGGUCCAAACUCCUACGGGAGGCAGCAGUGAGGAAUAUUGGUCAAUGGGCGAGAGCCUGAACCAGCCAAGUAGCGUGAAGGAUGAAGGCUCUAUGGGUCGUAAACUUCUUUUAUAUGGGAAUAAAGUUUUCCACGUGUGGAAUUUUGUAUGUACCAUAUGAAUAAGGAUCGGCUAACUCCGUGCCAGCAGCCGCGGUAAUACGGAGGAUCCGAGCGUUAUCCGGAUUUAUUGGGUUUAAAGGGAGCGUAGGUGGAUUGUUAAGUCAGUUGUGAAAGUUUGCGGCUCAACCGUAAAAUUGCAGUUGAAACUGGCAGUCUUGAGUACAGUAGAGGUGGGCGGAAUUCGUGGUGUAGCGGUGAAAUGCUUAGAUAUCACGAAGAACUCCGAUUGCGAAGGCAGCUCACUAGACUGUCACUGACACUGAUGCUCGAAAGUGUGGGUAUCAAACAGGAUUAGAUACCCUGGUAGUCCACACAGUAAACGAUGAAUACUCGCUGUUUGCGAUAUACAGUAAGCGGCCAAGCGAAAGCAUUAAGUAUUCCACCUGGGGAGUACGCCGGCAACGGUGAAACUCAAAGGAAUUGACGGGGGCCCGCACAAGCGGAGGAACAUGUGGUUUAAUUCGAUGAUACGCGAGGAACCUUACCCGGGCUUAAAUUGCAACAGAAUAUAUUGGAAACAGUAUAGCCGUAAGGCUGUUGUGAAGGUGCUGCAUGGUUGUCGUCAGCUCGUGCCGUGAGGUGUCGGCUUAAGUGCCAUAACGAGCGCAACCCUUAUCUUUAGUUACUAACAGGUCAUGCUGAGGACUCUAGAGAGACUGCCGUCGUAAGAUGUGAGGAAGGUGGGGAUGACGUCAAAUCAGCACGGCCCUUACGUCCGGGGCUACACACGUGUUACAAUGGGGGGUACAGAAGGCGGCUACCUGGUGACAGGAUGCUAAUCCCAAAAACCUCUCUCAGUUCGGAUCGAAGUCUGCAACCCGACUUCGUGAAGCUGGAUUCGCUAGUAAUCGCGCAUCAGCCAUGGCGCGGUGAAUACGUUCCCGGGCCUUGUACACACCGCCCGUCGAGCCAUGAAAGCCGGGGGUACCUGAAGUACGUAACCGCAAGGAGCGUCCUAGGGUAAAACUGGUAAUUGGGGCU
rnacentral:rRNA from 1 species